GAAACGACUGCUAAGACUGGAUAGGAAGUUUUAAGGCAUCUUCUUGUUUUUAAAGACCUAGCAAUAGGUAUGCUUAGGGAGGAGCUUGCGUCACAUUAGUUAGUUGGUGGGGUAAAGGCCUACCAAGACUAUGAUGUGUAGCUGGGCUGAGAGGUUGAACGGCCACAUUGGGACUGAGACACGGCCCAAACUCCUACGGGAGGCAGCAGUAGGGAAUUUUCGGCAAUGGAGGAAACUCUGACCGAGCAACGCCGCGUGAACGAUGAAGUAUUUCGGUACGUAAAGUUCUUUUAUUAGGGAAGAAUAAAUGAUGGAAAAAUCAUUCUGACGGUACCUAAUGAAUAAGCCCCGGCUAACUAUGUGCCAGCAGCCGCGGUAAUACAUAGGGGGCAAGCGUUAUCCGGAAUUAUUGGGCGUAAAGGGUGCGUAGGCGGUUAAAUAAGUUUAUGGUCUAAGUGCAAUGCUCAACAUUGUGAUGCUAUAAAAACUGUUUAGCUAGAGUAAGAUAGAGGCAAGUGGAAUUCCAUGUGUAGUGGUAAAAUGCGUAAAUAUAUGGAGGAACACCAGUAGCGAAGGCGGCUUGCUGGGUCUUUACUGACGCUGAGGCACGAAAGCGUGGGGAGCAAACAGGAUUAGAUACCCUGGUAGUCCACGCCGUAAACGAUGAGUACUAAACGUUGGGUAAAACCAGUGUUGAAGUUAACACAUUAAGUACUCCGCCUGAGUAGUACGUACGCAAGUAUGAAACUUAAAGGAAUUGACGGGACUCCGCACAAGCGGUGGAUCAUGUUGUUUAAUUCGAAGGUACCCGAAAAACCUCACCAGGUCUUGACAUGCUUCUGCAAAGCUGUAGAAACACAGUGGAGGUUAUCAGUUGCACAGGUGGUGCAUGGUUGUCGUCAGCUCGUGUCGUGAGAUGUUGGGUUAAGUCCCGCAACGAGCGCAACCCUUAUUGUUAGUUACCAGCACGUAAUGGUGGGGACUUUAGCAAGACUGCCAGUGAUAAAUUGGAGGAAGGUGGGGACGACGUCAAAUCAUCAUGCCCCUUAUGACCUGGGCUACAAACGUGAUACAAUGGCUGUUACAAAGGGUAGCUGAAGCGCAAGUUUUGGCGAAUCUCAAAAAAACAGUCUCAGUUCGGAUUGAAGUCUGCAACUCGACUUCAUGAAGUUGAAUCGCUAGUAAUCGCGAUCAGCAUGUCGCGGUGAAUACGUUCUCGGGGUUUGUACACACCGCCGC
rnacentral:rRNA from 1 species